AGAAACCUUGUUACGACUUCUCCUUCCUCUAAAUGAUAAGGUUCAAUGGACUUCUCGCGACGUCGGGGGCGGCGAACCGCCCCCGUCGCCGCGAUCCGAACACUUCACCGGACCAUUCAAUCGGUAGGAGCGAC
rnacentral:rRNA from 1 species